rnacentral:rRNA from 1 species
UACGUAGGGACCGAGCGUUGUCCGGAAUCAUUGGGCGUAAAGCGCGCGCAGGCGGUCCUUUAAGUCUGAUGUGAAAGCCCACGGCUCAACCGUGGAGGGUCAUUGGAAACUGGGGGACUUGAGUGCAGAAGAGGAGAGCGGAAUUCCACGUGUAGCGGUGAAAUGCGUAGAGAUGUGGAGGAACACCAGUGGCGAAGGCGGCUCUCUGGUCUGUAACUGACGCUGAGGCGCGAAAGCGUGGGGAGCGAACAGG